ACUUUCUGCAGUUUCUUGCCUCCGUGGGUGGUUGGCGCGUCUGCGGAGCCAGGGUCGUUGUGUGGAUCGUGGGACUGCAGCCCCAGCCAAAGGGCUAUCACGUCUGGUCGGUUCUGUAGAUCUGGGCCCCAGGGGCUGGACUCUGGGCAGUCACGUUGCAGUCGCUGCCUGCUGGGCCCAAGGCCACUGUAGGUCCCCUCGCGU
rnacentral:lncRNA from 1 species